AUUGAACGCUGGCGGCAUGCUUUACACAUGCAAGUCGAACGGCAGCGCGGGCUUCGGCCUGGCGGCGAGUGGCGAACGGGUGAGUAAUACAUCGGAACGUGCCCAGUAGUGGGGGAUAGCUCGGCGAAAGCCGGAUUAAUACCGCAUACGACCUGAGGGUGAAGGCGGGGGAUCUUCGGACCUCGCGCUAUUGGAGCGGCCGAUGGCAGAUUAGCUAGUUGGUGGGGUAAAGGCCUACCAAGGCGACGAUCUGUAGCUGGUCUGAGAGGACGACCAGCCACACUGGGACUGAGACACGGCCCAGACUCCUACGGGAGGCAGCAGUGGGGAAUUUUGGACAAUGGGCGAAAGCCUGAUCCAGCAAUGCCGCGUGUGUGAUGAAGGCCUUCGGGUUGUAAAGCACUUUUGGCGGGAACGAAGAGGACUGUGCCAAUACCACGGUUCGAUGACGGUACCCGCAGAAUAAGCACCGGCUAACUACGUG
rnacentral:rRNA from 1 species